GAAAAAACAAAACACAAUACCUUUUCCUUUCUCUGUUUCAAACUGGGCUUUUAAUGUCGUCCGACUUCUUCAAUAGCCGAUCUCAAUACCAACCUGACAUGUAGAAGUUCAAAUUGGUAAUCCAAGGGAUUCAAUUCAACUCUUGUCGUCUGGAGCAGCUCUAAUUGGUAUUUGUGAAUGAUCCAUUCCUGAACCACCCAGAACAUUGAAUCAGAGUUCGAGUUGUAUCAGCAAGAGCUUACCACUCCCUCUUUAUGCGUAGCAUCUAAGUAAUGAGGAUGAUAUGAUUACCUGAAACCUAGAAUAUGGACAAGAGUUGGGUAAGAUUGAAGAGGGGUAGUGCAGAUUACAAGUUACGAUUACGAGGCUAGAUCUCACACGUCUUAGCAGUUGCAUCCUUUCAUGGAAACAUCAAAUGUCCUUGCAGAUCAUGUGUAAAUGGGGAGUGGCAUGACGGGGAUACUGUCUAUGACCACUUGGUGGUUGAAGGUAUUGCCCAUUCAUACAUAGAUGGUCCUUGGGUGUGGCAUGGUGAAGCAUUCGGUGUUCAACAGCCUGUGUGUACGACCUAUGAAGAAGAUACUAAUUCUGGCAUGGCUGACAUGAUACAUGAUCUUUUCCCAAGCAUAGAUGGACUAGAAGGUCCGUGUGAGAAUGAGAACAAUGCUCCCACAUCUGAGAAUGAGAACCAUGGUCCACCCCAACCUAUGCCAGAUUAUGUUCAUCAUUUUCAACGGUUGCUGGAAGAAGCCAAUCAGGACUUAUAUCCAGGUUGCAGAGCAAUGAAAAAGCUGGAAUUUCUUAUCGAAGUAUUCCAGAACAAGUGCUUAUAUGGCCAAAGUGAUGUAUCUGUAUCUGCGUGGCUGAAGCUGAUUAAAAAAAUUCUCCCAGAAGGGGAGACAUUGCCUAGCAAGUAGCAACUUCUAUAGGACAAAAAGAGUAUAGAAGUUGUAUUAUAAUCAGUAACUUAAAAGAAUUUGUUGCCAUCUGAUACAUAUGUUCUUUUUGAUGUAUUUACUUACACAAAUUGUAAGGUGAUUAAUCUCCAGGAAGCUACUUUAGGUGAGAUUGAUUUUGUGACUCUUUUAACUUUUUUUUUUUUUUUUUGAGAAUAUUUGUGACUCAACUUGAAUGCCAUAUAUGAAAGAAUAUGGCUUUUGUUAGUCAGUACAUGUCUGUCGUCUGCAAGUUUAUGCUUGUGAUCCUAUUUCACAAAGCAUGUUAUAUCGAAGUGUUCUGGUAAGCUCAUGGUGAUGGACAUGUAUAAUAUAUUAAA